rnacentral:rRNA from 1 species
UGGGGAAUUUUGGACAAUGGGCGAAAGCCUGAUCCAGCAAUGCCGCGUGUGUGAAGAAGGCCUUCGGGUUGUAAAGCACUUUUGUCCGGAAAGAAAUCCUUGGCUCUAAUACAGUCGGGGGAUGACGGUACCGGAAGAAUAAGCACCGGCUAACUACGUGCCAGCAGCCGCGGUAAUACGUAGGGUGCAAGCGUUAAUCGGAAUUACUGGGCGUAAAGCGUGCGCAGGCGGUUUGCUAAGACCGAUGUGAAAUCCCCGGGCUCAACCUGGGAACUGCAUUGGUGACUGGCAGGCUAGAGUAUGGCAGAGGGGGGUAGAAUUCCACGUGUAGCAGUGAAAUGCGUAGAGAUGUGGAGGAAUACCGAUGGCGAAGGCAGCCCCCUGGGCCAAUACUGACGCUCAUGCACGAAAGCGUGGGGAGCAAACAGGAUUAGAUACCCUGGUAGUCCACGCCCUAAACGAUGUCAACUAGUUGUUGGGGAUUCAUUUCCUUAGUACGUAGCUAACGCGUGAAGUUGACCGCCUGGGGAGUACGGUCGCAAGAUUAAACUCAAUGAAUUGACGGGGUCAUAGCUGUUUCCU